rnacentral:lncRNA from 1 species
GAAAAUGAGGCCAGGCCAAAGAACAAGGGGCCUUGAAGCUUAUUAGAAGGGCAUGGAUUUUAUCCACAAAGCAAUGGGAUGCCACUGGAGAAUUUAAAUUAGCCGGUGGCAUAAUGAGCUCUCUAUUCCCAAAAGCUCACUCUGGUUGCAACGUGGAUAGGAAUGUAUGCGGAUUGGAACCUGAUUAAGCAACGUAGCAACAAGGCAGAACAAGGUUCUCCGGAGAAACAGAAGCAAUAGGAGAGAUAUACAAAGGAGAUUUAUUAUGAGGAAAUGGCUCAUGCGAUCAUGGAGGCAGAGAGGUCCCAUCUGCUCUCUCCAAGCUGGAGACUCAGGAGAGUUGCUGGUGUAAUUUCAGUCUGAGUCUAAAGACCUAAGAACCAGGGAGCCAAAGACUAUUGUCAGGCUCAUUUUUAUCAAUCUGGUAGGAGUGAAGUGAUAUCUAGUAAGCAAAUGGGGAUCUCAGGCCUGUACCCACAAGGAAACAAAUUCUGCCACAACCAUGUCAGCUUGAAAGAGGACCAUGAGCUCCAGAAUGAAACGCAGCCUGCCUAACACCAUGACUGUACCUCGUGAGACUCUGAGCAGAGGACCCAGGAAAGCCAUGCCUGCAUCCUGACCCCCCAGAAAUGGAGAUAAUAAAUGUAUAUUGUUUUAAGCCACUAAAUUUGUGUUAAUUAGUUGUGUAGCAACAGAUAACUAAUACAAUAUUGGAUCCAUG